rnacentral:lncRNA from 1 species
UCUCUGUCCCAGGUUUCGCACUUCCAUGAGGUUUGCCCUUUGAAUUGACACCAAUAUUUGUUUGUGCUUCCUGCACAGGUGGGGAAGAAAAGGCAGUGACACGGGCUAAUUUCUGAAAAAAUAUAGCCCCCCUUAUGCUUAUUACUGAUGUUAUCACUCUCAUUUGAAGUACUUAGUAUCUGUUAAGAAUCUGGAAGAAGGUGUAACAGUGAGGUAGGUGGUCCGUUGUCUAACACAGCAACCUGGUGAAGGCCAGGUAAGGUAUGUAAGCCUUUUCCUACAGUAAUGGAAAUCCCUCAUCACUGGAUGGAACAGGAAGCAUCGUCUGAGAGGUGAGCUCUGCCCAGCAUGUGCAUGGAGGUCAUAGGAUGGUGGGGAAAGUAUUUGGGGCCUCCCUGUUUGCUUGGAGCAUUGUAUAGCUGGUAUCCUGAGGAGGGUGGAAGAUAGGUCUGUUUGCCUGUGUCACACAUCUGAUCUGUCCAUCUGUGAAAUACCUCAGAAGUUAAUUCUUCCUUUGUCAGGAAGGGUGGAACAAGGCACUUGGGGAUUAGCAAAUACUUUUUUGACCAGAUGAAUAGCAAAAGGGUAAAAUAAAGCUUGGAGGUGCUUUUUGCUUUAUGCAUUUCUACAGUCUUACAGUGUAGGAACAGGGAUAGGAGUUGCAACCAACUUUUUUUCCUUCAUGGGUUUUGAGAAAUUUAGAGUUUUUUGUUGUCGUUGUUUUGUUUGCUUGUUUGUUUUGUUUGUUUUCCUUUUGUGACCUAUGGGUAAAGCUAUAAAAGAAGGAAAUUCUUUUAGUUUGAAUAGAAAAGUACCAACCUGAUGAAAGUAAAAGCUACUGACCAGUUCCUGGUCAACCAGAUUUAUUAGGUAUCAGAUUCUAAGAUGAAAGCAGCUAAAUCCCAUGGAAACAAGCAGAGAAGAAAUAAGAGACGGGCAGACUUUAACUGACAAUAUUUGCAGGUGUCAGGAAGACGAAAGAAAUGAAGGAACUGAAGGGCGAUGGUUUCUUCAGUUUGUCUCCCCCUGGUGGAACACCCCUUCUGCGUCUCAGCAAAACCUUUAAUCUUCAAUUUUUCUUUUCCUUCUUCAUUUUUACUAUGUGGUUCCAUUGUUAUUAUCAUAACGGAGUAAUCUAUACACAGCAAUGCCUCUAUGCCAGCCCUGAUGACUACAUCUUUCAAGUUUAUGUGUGUUCCUAUUGCCCCAGGUAUCAGCUGUCUGGGCUACAAUUUAUGCAAAGUGUUCUCAAUUCUCCUCAGCUUAAAUAAAUACAAUUAUACCAUAUUGUUUUUCAGUGAUUCUUCUGUCUCCCAGAUCAGUUCAGAGACUGGAUCAGCAUGAAGCAGAUUCUUCAGUGGUCUGAACUGGACCUGGUGAAACAAAGAAGACUUAAAGCUAG